rnacentral:rRNA from 1 species
CUUAUGUCUGGGCUACACACGUGCUACAUGGCCCGCACAAAGGGUAGCGAGACCGCGAGGUGGAGCCAAUCCCAAAAAACGCGUCCCAGUCCGGAUUGAAGUCUGCAACUCGACUCCUUGAAGUCGGAAUCGCUAGUAAUUCGAGAUCAGCAUGCUCGGGUGAAUGCGUUCCCGGGCCUUGUACACACCGCCCGUCACACCACGAAAGUCGGUUUUACCCGAAGCCGGUGAGCUAACUCGCAAGAGGAGCAUCCGUCUACGGUACGGCCGAUGAUUG